AAACGCUUGAAGUCAGUCGCAUCCUUCAGAAAUCAACCUGGCCGUCAGGUCUGGUGCACUUUCUGUUUGGAUGGGUCAGCAUCAAUUUUGAUCGUUGGAUAAAGGCUUGGGGAAUGUGGCAUCUUCGGAUGUGUUAUA
rnacentral:rRNA from 1 species